UUCUCAGAGAAAAGUGGGUCUCAUUUCAGC
rnacentral:piRNA from 1 species